AUUGAACGCUGGCGGCAUGCCUUACACAUGCAAGUCGAACGGUAACGCGGGGGCAACCCUGGCGACGAGUGGCGAACGGGUGAGUAAUACAUCGGAACAUACCCAGUAGCGGGGGAUAACCUAUCGAAAGAUUGGCUAAUACCGCAUACGACCUACGGAUGAAAGUGGGGGACCGCAAGGCCUCGCACUAUUGGAGUGGCCGAUGUCAGAUUAGCUAGUUGGUGGGGUAAAAGCCGACCAAGGCGACGAUCUGUAGCUGGUCUGAGAGGACGAUCAGCCACACUGGAACUGAGACACGGUCCAGACUCCUACGGGAGGCAGCAGUGGGGAAUUUUGGACAAUGGGCGCAAGCCUGAUCCAGCCAUGCCGCGUGAGUGAAGAAGGCCUUCGGGUUGUAAAGCUCUUUCGGUGAAGACGAAACGGUUAGCGCUAAUAACGCUGACUAGUGACGGUACUCACAGAAGAAGCACCGGCUAACUACGUGCCAGCCGCCGCCGUAA
rnacentral:rRNA from 1 species